UUUAAUGAGAGUUUGAUCCUGGCUCAGGACGAACGCUGGCGGCGUGCCUAAUACAUGCAAGUAGAACGCUGAGGUUUGGUGUUUACACUAGACUGAUGAGUUGCGAACGGGUGAGUAACGCGUAGGUAACCUGCCUCAUAGCGGGGGAUAACUAUUGGAAACGAUAGCUAAUACCGCAUAAGAGUAAUUAACACAUGUUAGUU
rnacentral:rRNA from 1 species